AUUGAACGCUGGCGGCAGGCCUAACACAUGCAAGUCGAACGGUAACAGCGAGACGUUUGUUUCUUUGCUGUUGAGUGUCGGAUGGGUGAGUGAUGUCUGGGAAACUCCCUGUUGGAGUGGGAUAACUACUGGAAACGGUAGCGCAUAUCUCAUAACGUCGCAAGUCCAAAAAGGGGGACCUUCUGGCCCCUUGCCUUCUGGUGUGCCCAGAUGGGGUUUUAUAGUAGGUGGGGUAACGGCGCACCCAGGCGACCAUCCGUAGCUGGUCUGAGAGGAUGUGCAGCCACACUGGAACUGAGACACGGUCCAGACUCCUACGGGAGGCAGCAGUGGGGAAUAUUGGACAAUGGGCGCAAGCCUGAUGCAGCCAUGCCGCGUGUUUGAAGAAGGCCUUCGGGUUGUAAAGUACUUUCGGCGGGAAUGAAAAGAGUGAGGUUAAUACCUCUGCUUGUUGACGGUACCCAAAGAAUAAGCACCGGCUAACUUCGUG
rnacentral:rRNA from 1 species